CCUACGGGAGGCUGCAGUGAGGAAUAUUGGUCAAUGGGCGUAAGCCUGAACCAGCCAAGCCGCGUGAGGGAUGAAGGUUCUAUGGAUCGUAAACCUCUUUUAUAAGGGAAUAAAGUGCGGGACGUGUCCCGUUUUGUAUGUACCUUAUGAAUAAGGAUCGGCUAACUCCGUGCCAGCAGCCGCGGUAAUACGGAGGAUCCGAGCGUUAUCCGGAUUUAUUGGGUUUAAAGGGUGCGUAGGCGGCCUUUUAAGUCAGCGGUGAAAGUCUGUGGCUCAACCAUAGAAUUGCCGUUGAAACUGGGAGGCUUGAGUAUGUUUGAGGCAGGCGGAAUGCGUGGUGUAGCGGUGAAAUGCUUAGAUAUCACGCAGAACCCCGAUUGCGAAGGCAGCCUGCCAAGCCAUGACUGACGCUGAUGCACGAAAGCGUGGGGAGCAAACAGGAUUAGAUACCCCUGUAGUC
rnacentral:rRNA from 1 species